GCUUGCUUGUUGGGGUUGUAGGACACUCUAUACGGAGUUACAAAGGACGACAUUAGACGAAUCAUCUGGAAAGAUGAAUCAAAGAAGGUAAUAAUCCUGUAGUCGAAAAUGUUGUCUCUCUUGAGUGGAUCCUGAGUACGACGGAGCACGUGAAAUUCCGUCGGAAUCUGGGAGGACCAUCUCCUAAGGCUAAAUACUCUCUAGUGACCGAUAGUGAACCAGUACCGUGAGGGAAAGGUGAAAAGCACCCCGGAAGGGGAGUGAAAUAGAACCUGAAACCGUGUGCUUACAAGUAGUCAGAGCCCGUUAAUGGGUGAUGGCGUGCCUUUUGUAGAAUGAACCGGCGAGUUACGAUUUGAUGCAAGGUUAAGCAGUAAAUGUGGAGCCGUAGCGAAAGCGAGUCUGAAUAGGGCGUUUAGUAUUUGGUCGUAGACCCGAAACCAGGUGAUCUACCCUUGGUCAGGUUGAAGUUCAGGUAACACUGAAUGGAGGACCGAA
rnacentral:rRNA from 1 species